rnacentral:tmRNA from 1 species
GGGGAUGUAAAGGUUUCGACGUGGUUGUUGAAGCAGGAUAAGCGAGUCGCAGUUGUCCGGUCUGCGUUAAAAAGGACACGUUUAAAUAUAAACGCUAAAAAUAAUAACAACAAUUACGCAUUAGCAGCGUAGCUGCAGCGUCGCCCACUUCGGUUUACCUGUAGGCUGAGGAUCGGGCGUCAAAUAUACAGGAAAACUUUCUGUGAGUGUUCGGUAGCAGGAAGGAAUUACGAACUGGCGAAGCUUUAAGCCUGUCGAUAGGCGUAUUGCCGAGCGAGAUUUAAAAUAUCGAAUGCACUCGGAGAAAGUCUUGUGAAUAUGGUUGCGGACAGGGGUUCGACUCCCCUCAUCUCCACCA